ACGCUGGCGGCGUGCCUAAUACAUGCAAGUAGAACGCUGAAGAGAGGAGCUUGCUCUUCUUGGAUGAGUUGCGAACGGGUGAGUAACGCGUAGGUAACCCGCCUUGUAGCGGGGGAUAACUAUUGGAAACGAUAGCUAAUACCGCAUAACAAUGGAUGACACAUGUCAUUUAUUUGAAAGGGGCAAUUGCUCCACUACAAGAUGGACCUGCGUUGUAUUAGCUAGUAGGUGAGGUAACGGCUCACCUAGGCGACGAUACAUAGCCGACCUGAGAGGGUGAUCGGCCACACUGGGACUGAGACACGGCCCAGACUCCUACGGGAGGCAGCAGUAGGGAAUCUUCGGCAAUGGGGGCAACCCUGACCGAGCAACGCCGCGUGAGUGAAGAAGGUUUUCGGAUCGUAAAGCUCUGUUGUAAGUCAAGAACGAGUGUGAGAGUGGAAAGUUCACACUGUGACGGUAGCUUACCAGAAAGGGACGGCUAACUACGUGCCAGCAGCCGCGGUAAUACGUAGGUCCCGAGCGUUGUCCGGAUUUAUUGGGCGUAAAGCGAGCGCAGGCGGUUUGAUAAGUCUGAAGUUAAAGGCUGUGGCUCAACCAUAGUUCGCUUUGGAAACUGUCAAACUUGAGUGCAGAAGGGGAGAGUGGAAUUCCAUGUGUAGCGGUGAAAUGCGUAGAUAUAUGGAGGAACACCGGUGGCGAAAGCGGCUCUCUGGUCUGGAACUGACGCUGAGGCUCGAAAGCGUGGGGAGCGAACAGGAUUAGAUACCCUGGUAGUCCACGCCGUAAACGAUGAGUGCUAGGUGUUGGAUCCUUUCCGGGAUUCAGUGCCGCAGCUAACGCAUUAAGCACUCCGCCUGGGGAGUACGACCGCAAGGUUGAAACUCAAAGGAAUUGACGGGGGCCCGC
rnacentral:rRNA from 1 species